GGAGCUCAGGCAGGUGAUAUCCUGCAGAAAUUGAAUGUCACAAUCAAAUUCAUACUGGCUUCCAUUCUGAGGUUCAUCAAUCACAAAUCUGGUGGUGAAAUGAUUCAGUGCAUAAAAGUCAGCUGCACCUUUGACAAGCUGCUUUUCCUCACUUGUGAAGGAUGGCAACAAAGUAUAUGAAAGGCCCUUUCUGUUUUUAAAGGUGAUGUAUUCCCUCAUAGUAGCUGGAUAGUCUCCAGUCUUAAAUAUGGGAUUGGCAAACCAGCCUAUUUCAAACUGAAGAAACCUGUUGGCAGCUUUUGAAUGAGAUUCAAAGAAGGGGUUGGCAGGCUCAGCCCAGUCGGAAUGCAGGGACAGGGACACUUUGCCGUACUGAGAGGGCCGGUACCGCUCGUCGUACGUUCUCCAGGCCAUGGCGUGUGCUAGCAACAAAUUGUGUGCUGCCCGAUAGGUGUCAUUGCUGCUCCUCUUGUAGACAUUGCUUAGCUGGUUUGGCUCAUUUAUUGUAAUCCACAGUUUAACCAAAUCACCAAGCUCCCUAAAACACAAAGCUGCGUACUCUUGAAAAGCGUAGGCAGUGGACUGGUUCAACCAUCCUCCUGUCUUCAGCAAAGGACCCGGCAGGCCCAGGUAGGUGUGAGUUGGAUAAUACAAGGUGACCAUGGAUUGAAUGUUCAGUUUCAGGGCUUCACUAAUCACACAUCUGUAAUACCUAAGAACUUGCCUGUUGACCACUGACAAAUCUCCGUUGGGUAAAAUUAGUGACCAGUCAAGUGCAAAUCUGUAAUGGGUGAUUUUCAUUUUUUCCAGGAGAUCCAGUUGCUUUUUAAUACUGACAAAAUCUGUGCACUGUGCUGGUCGGGUUUUUAGCUUUACCCCUUCAACUUUGUGCAGAAGCCCAUCUCCUGUGACAUUCCAGAGGUACAAGCUGGAAUCACAGAACUGUGGCUUCACAAGCAUCCCUAUGGCCACACUGCAAACUGGAUUUGGAAACCCCUGGUUGAAAAAUAACCCAGUAACAAUUGGUGGGAUCAACUUCUUGGUUUGAAAUUUCCUCAUCUGAUGUGCCACAUGGAGACACAAGCAGAGGGAGGGCCACGCUUGGAAGGGCACCUGCAGCAGGGUCUGCUGCCACAGCAGUAGCCAGCACUCUGUGCCCAGCUCACCUGAAAACUGGAAACACAGGAAAUUGGACCAAUGCAAUUAUGGCUUAACUUCUGUUGGCAGUGUGCAUUGGAAUUCUGGAAUGCAAGGUGCUGUGUAUGGUCAUUUGUUCAGGGAGCUGCUGAUCACUCUGUUGCCAGUGAUCCACUUAAUAUUUUAUGCUUACCUUGAGAACAGACUCGGUGAUACCCCAGGAGAAGUCACAGGAGAACUGAGCUUGCAAGUUCGGGGUGGAAUCCUUUGGGAAGAAGCCAUUUUCUUGUAUGAUUUGUUUAUAAUAAAGUGCAGAUGACUUGGGAA